AUUUACAAAAUAUGUAUUAUCAAGGCUGUUGUCCCAGGAGCUAGAGAGUAGCAGCUGCUGUGAGAUGGGGAUGGGGCAAGUGUGCUCAACUGCCACAGUUAGGAAUUUGUAAAAAUGGACACCACAGUCUUCUGCCUGCAGGUACCAGACAGGGCGGUUAGAGGGGACUGAUAGUCCCUCCUCUCCCCCCUGGGGGCUGAAGGAGAAAGGAGCCUGAUCCAACAGUAUGAUCGCCAUGCUUCAUAACAUGCAGCUGCUUCUUUGUCCUUGCUCAUGAGCUGGUACUCGUGCAGUGCCCAUAGGUACUGUGGCUACGGUGUGUAAUAGAGUGUGCUGGGGCCAGGCCCAAGCAAGCCAGGCUUACCAAAGCAGACAAAUUGGGGCUAAUGUUUAAAAAAAGGGAUGCACUUAGGGAGAAAAAGGACAUUGUAGAUAAAAUAACAGAUGCAAAAAGCAGGUGGACACGAGAAUAAAUUUCAUCUGACCAUAUGUUCCACACAUGGGUAAGCCCCUGCUACAUGCCAGGUGCCAUCAACCCCUCAGUGAGUGUAGUGAGGAAGAGUCUCUGAGGGAGACAGUCACACCACGACCUUUUGAUUUCCUUUCUCUUCCACAUGGAACACUUCUCCCAAGUCUUUGUGAGGCUCACCCCCUGACUUCAUCUAAGCUUCCGUUCAAAUGUCACCUCCUUGGAGAAGACUUCCCUGGUCAGCGCAUCUAAAACAGCAUGGCCCCAAUCCCUCUGUCCAUUUCCUUAUCUUGCUUUGUUUUUCUCCACAGCACUUAUUGCCAGAUAUAAAAUGAGGAUUUGUAUAUUGUGUGUUGUUCCCACACUAGAACCUAAGCUCUGGCAGGGCAGGGCCUUUCUCAUUCCCACAUAGUCCCAGCACCAGAAUGGUACCUGGUACAUUGCAGGAAAUACUUGUUGAAUGAAUGAAUGAAUGAAUGAAUGGGUCUUACAAAAAGGUGAAUACUGGAUUGCUAUUCAGUGCUAUUAGGGAAGAGCACAUAGCUCCCAUAACCUUGACCCAACCUAGUCAAGAUGGUCAAGGAAGACCAGCUGGAGUAAGUGAUACUUGCAGACUUGAGAAAUAAGCAGGAAUUAGCCAGUGAAGUCAUCACAAUAGUUAUGAGUUUAAAACUCAAGAAUAAGUAUUUAGGUGAAACAUGGAAAUGUCUUGAACCAAAUGAGCGGUAAGGAAAAUCGCCCAGGGAGGGUCAAUGAGGGACCUGAAGGUCAAGUGGCACGUGUCUCCAUUGAUGCAAUGACUACCCAGGGGAUGGGGGUAAAGAAUGGUGCAGAGCCAAUGAAGAAAGAAGCUGGAGAAGUACUGUUGAGGCCUCUCUUGUUAACAGAAAAUCACUCCUUGAGCAGCUUUGCCCUACUGGAUUCUUUCUGUCUUUGGGUAUCCACAGUUUAAAUGACCAUUUGUGUUUCCAAGUGCGAUCCAGUUGUCCUACCCAAAGAUUUUCUCCAAAAAAUGAAUUACUGGUUGUUUUCCAAGGGCACCUGAGACCAGAUCCAUACGGAGUUUUUCCUGUCUUUGCUCUGGAACUGUUCUUUGCUAAUUAGUAACUUUUCCGGGUAUAUAACUUUCAAGGAUGUCAUCCAUUCUAUUUUAAUGUCAGCAUUUUAUCUGGACUUGGAGAUGGAAAUGUGAACUAAAGGGGCUGAAUCCAUAGUUUUUUUUCUUCAAAGGAGGCAUGCUGAUCCAGUGCAAAGGCUCAGUAGUAGAGUCAUUAUUGCUUCUGCUGGUGGCUUAUUCUGUAAUCCGCAAGUGAGGCGUAGCAUCCUCUAGAUAAUAAAAACUGAAAACGUGGGAGACAUGGUUGGCCUAGUCACAGCGCUGAAUUUAUAAUGUUGAAGAGACAUUCUUAGCAUCCUUUGAAGAGUUUUUCCACAAAGUAUUUUUUCUUUUGGUCAUUUGCCAUGGAUUUGCUCAUUUUUGCACAUUGCAUUCCACACAUUUUACUUAACUGUGGCCACAGUGCCUAUACUUUUUCUUAUUAUUUUCAUGACCUAGCAAAUGUAUUUCCGUAGACUCUUUAUGAAGAUUUUAAAUGACAUGAAUAUGAGCACCCUUAUCAAAAGUCUACUUUGUUAGGAACUUUGAAAAUACAUAAAAACGUAAAGAAAAUACAAAAACAAUCUGGAUCCCUGUAGAAAAAAGCCUUGUUCAGUUUGUCUAUUUCCUUCCAAUCAUAUAGAGAUCAUACACAAUGGGUGAAAAACAUUCCAUCCUGUCAAGACCGCCUCCCGGGCCGGUCUUGUCUUCUAAAUAACUCUCUAGUAAGGAUCCUCUUGAAUAGUUCGUGUUGUUCCUGAGGAAGUAUUUUUCCAAGGAUUAUCUGCUAGAAGUGGAGUGACCAGGUAACAGUAAUUUCUGACAGAGCUGCCCUCUGCUAACGUGGCUGGGAUGAUGACCAGGCAGGUCGUGUUGGAAUCCUGCAUCCAUGCUAAGUCAUGCUUCACCUUUCUCCUGUAGAAGUAGCUCCGAGGGUCCAACGAGGUAGUGAUUUCCUGUGUUUACAUAAUUACCAUCCUUCUCCCUGGCAGGAAUGCAAGUUCCUUGAAGGCAAAGGGCUGUGUCUCACGUCCCCAGACCUGUAGCACAGUCGGGCACAAUCUUCAACAAACUUGAGCUUCCCAACGUCCGGUCACCGGUUCUUUCAGCUCUCCUUGCCCCUAGGCCAGUGGUUCACGGGGCCCUUUCCUAAGAAACGGUACAUCUGCCACACACUUGAAAUCUCUGCCUGCAAGCCGCUCCGCUCCGCGCCCCGAGUCAGGGACUUCCCAGAGCACAAGUGCGGCAUCCGGGCGCGCCGGCACGGCCUGUGGGAACUGGACGCCCCGCUCGCCGCCCCGCGCGUCCGGGCGCUGACCACCUCUCGCCCUGGGAGUCCCGACCGAGCCCGCGGGGCCGAGAGCCCCACGCCCCCGGCCCGCCCCGGGAUCGCGCCGCCGCUUGUUUACUCCCCGGCGCAGCCUAGUCCGACCCUGGGGCCCGCCCUCGUCCGCCGCCUAUUGGCGGAGGAGGCGCCAACGCUAGCGACGAUUGGUCCAGGGAAGGCGGAGGGGUAGGCUGCGCGGGAGGCCGAGAGGGGGCAGCAGGCGAUGGCGGCGGCAGCGGCGGCGGCGGGUUGUCUAGGCUGGUUGCUCGCUGCGCUGUGCCUGGGCAACGCCGCCGGGGAGGCGGCGUCGGGCCCGCGAGUUUUGGGCGUCUGUCUGGAGGAGGACGGAGCCGCGGACGCGGGGUGGGAGCGCGGAGGAGAGGUGCGGGCCGCACCGGAGGCCACCUUCCGCUUACGCCUCUUCGGCUCCGGCUUGGCCAACAGCUCCUGGUCCUGGGUGGCCCCCGAGGGGGCGGGCUGCCCCGAGGGCGGGUCGGCCGCGGCGCCCGAGGAGGCGGCGGCCCCCACGGGCGAGUGGCGCGCACUGCUGCGCCUGCGCGCCGAGGCUGCGCGCCCGCACUCGGCGCUGCUGGCCGUGAGCGGGGAGCCGGGCGGCUCGGCGGCCCGGGAGGCGGCGGCCCCAGCGGGCGAGUGGAGCGCGCUGCUGCGCCUGCGCGCCGAGGCCGUGCGCCCGCAUUCGGCGCUACUCGCCUUGCGCGUGGAGCCAGGCGGCUCGGCCGCCGAGGAGGCGGCGCCGCCCUGGGCGCUGGGCCUGGGGGCGGCGGGGCUGCUGGCGCUGGCGGCGCUGGCGCGCGGCCUUCAGCUAAGCGCGCUGGCGCUGGCGCCCGCCGAGGUGCAGGUGCUGCGCGAGAGCGGCUCGGAGGCCGAGCGCGCGGCGGCGCGGCGCCUAGAGCCCGCGCGGCGCUGGGCCGGCUGCGCCCUGGGCGCGCUGUUGCUACUGGCCAGCCUGGCGCAGGCGGCGCUGGCGGUGCUGCUGUACCGCGCGGCCGGCCAGCGCGCCGUGCCCGCCGUGCUGGGCAGCGCGGGGCUCGUGUUCCUGGUGGGCGAGGUGGUACCGGCUGCCGUGAGCGGGCGCUGGGCGUUGGCGCUGGCGCCGCGCGCGCUGCUCCUCAGCCGCCUGGCCGUGCUGCUGACCCUGCCGGUGGCGCUGCCCGUGGGCCAGUUGCUGGAGCUGGCGGCGCGGCCCGGGCGGCUGCGCGAGCGCGUGCUGGAGCUGGCCCGCGGCGGCGGCGACCCCUACAGCGAUCUCAGCAAGGGCGUGCUGCGCUGCCGGACCGUGGAGGACGUGCUCACGCCGCUCGAGGACUGCUUCAUGCUGGACGCCAGCGCCGUGCUGGACUUCGGCGUCCUGGCCAGCAUCAUGCAGAGCGGCCACACGCGCAUCCCAGUGUAUGAGGAGGAGCGCUCCAACAUCGUGGACAUGCUCUACCUCAAGGACUUGGCCUUCGUGGAUCCCGAAGACUGCACGCCGCUCAGCACCAUCACCCGCUUCUACAACCAUCCGCUCCACUUUGUCUUCAACGACACCAAACUGGACGCUGUCCUGGAGGAGUUCAAACGAGGGAAGUCCCACCUGGCCAUCGUGCAGAAGGUGAACAACGAGGGUGAAGGUGACCCCUUCUACGAGGUACUGGGCCUGGUCACCCUGGAGGACGUCAUUGAGGAGAUCAUCAAGUCUGAGAUCCUGGACGAGUCUGAGGACUACCGAGAUGCCGCCGUGCGGAAGAAGGCUGCUCCUCUGAGUGCCCCUCUCAGGCCGAAAGAGGAAUUCUCCCUGUUCAAGGUGUCUGAUGAUGAACAUAAAGUGAAAAUCUCGCCUCAGCUGCUCUUGGCCACCCAGCGCUUCCUGUCCCGAGAGGUGGAUGUAUUCAGCCCCCUGCGAAUCUCCGAGAAGGUCCUGCUGCACCUGCUGAAGCAUCCCAGCGUCAACCAGGAAGUGAGGUUUGACGAGAGCAACCGUCUGGCUGCACACCAUUACCUGUACCAGCGCAGCCAGCCGGUGGACUAUUUCAUUCUCAUCCUGCAGGGCAGGGUUGAGGUGGAGAUCGGGAAAGAGGGCCUGAAGUUCGAGAAUGGGGCCUUCACCUACUAUGGAGUGUCUGCCCUGACAGCACCAUCCUCAGUUCACCAGUCCCCGGUGUCCUCGCUCCAGUCCAUCCGCCACGACCUGCAGCCCGAGCCAGCCGAUGGUGCCCGCUUGUGUGCGUACUGUCCUGACUACACCGUGAGGGCCCUCUCCGACCUGCAGCUCAUUAAGGUCACGCGGCUGCAGUACCUCAAUGCACUCCUGGCCACUCGGGCUCAGAACCUGCCACAGUCCCCGGAGAACGCAGACCUCCAGGUCAUCCCAGGCAGCCAGACCAGGCUCCUCGGUGACAAGACAGCCCCAGCAGCAGCCUUCCCCGUAGACCUUUCCCUCUUUGGCACAUUUGGAAACUGCAGUUGAUAAUUGACUGUGGACUAGUGAGCAUUUUUUGUUUUCAGAAAACACCCAAGGGCCCAACCACAGCAGACCCGGCCUCCCAGCGGAGGAGAGCCCUGGGCGGAACCCAGGGGUUUAACUGCUUGCCAGGCAGCCCCAGGUCUGGGGAAUGGACAAGCACGUGGGGAACUGGAGAGCCGAGGAGUAGCUUGUCAGCCUAUCCCCAUCCCCUCCAGGCCACGUUUUAGAUGGCCCUUAUAGAUGUGGGUCCUGGGCUGUCCUCAGAGCCAGACCUCAAUGCCGGGAGCCUUCAGCGGGUCCUGCCCUCCUUUAGGAAAUGGGGGUCAGUUGGGGCACAGCCCUCCAGGCCUGCUUCUGAAGGGAAUGGAAAGACACUGUCAUCUCCGGUCCCCAGGACCCAGCCUUCUCCCUGUGACAGUGCAGUGUAUUUAUACCUCUUUGGGCCAAGCCAUGAUGUGAGUGCACGGUUACUGCCUUUACGUGGCCGUGACCUGUACUCGCUUCGCUUUCAAUUUGCCAACCUUCUGCUGCCGGCAGCACUUUGAGCAAACCAGGAGCACUAGUUGGGGCUGGGGGGGUUCACAUCCUUGGCCGUAGCCACAGUGAACGAUUUGGCUUCCCUUACAAUGCCGUGUUUCAGAGCACGCGCCCCAGCCUGUCCCAUGUGCCAAACCUCAAAGCUCGAUGACCCACCGGUAUGUGCCACUGUCCUGCUCCCUCCUGUGGAGGUCGCUUCUCUGAGCCCUGUGCUCAGAGCCCUGAGCAAGAGAGCUGGCCCCCAGUGGCACUGAGGAGGCCUGCUCCUUCUGCUUCUCUGCCUGUCUUGCUUAGUUGCUUCUAACGGUAUUGUCACUUUCUGUGUUUGAAGAAGAGAGGUCACCCAUGGGAGGAAGGGGUGUGCUGCCCCUAACUCUUUCUCAGUUGCUCGAUCCCAGGGAGAGGAUCCAGCCGUUAGACCUACUUUGUACCUUCUUCCUAGGCCUCCGUGGAGAGCUGGAUGGCUGUCAUUUGCACGGAGAGAGGCAGGGGAGGGAAGGGUUGGUUAUGGAGCAGGUAGAACCUCAUCCCCUUUCUUUAAAAAAACAAAAACCCAUCAGUUUUUCUUGUAUCUCAAACAUUUCAGCUGUUUGCUUUUUUGCUGUUCUUAGCUGCGGGGUUUUAGAGAAUUGGGAACAAGAAGGCAUUUAUGUUUUUCUUCUGGCUUACCCAUUUUUACCUUCUGCAGUUCUUCAACUGUGCAGAAACUGGGGCGUCACAGAGACGUAGGAUUGCAGACUGGAUGUGGGGGAGGAUUUCUGGAACCUUUCUCAAAGGAAUUUGGGUCCCUUAUCUGGGACCGUUGGGAAUGAAGGCCAAAGAACAAUGGCAUGCUCGCUUAGAAACUUCUCAAGGAGUUCUAAGAGCAAACCCGGGUGGGAAGCAUAUUUUACAAUCAUCUCUCUCCAGAACAGUGGUUCUUAACCUUGGCUGCACGUUAGAAUCACCUGGCAAGUUGAAAAAUACUGAUACCUGAUACUUGGGGUCUCCUCUUCCAGGGAGCCUGAUUUAAUUGAUCUGGGCAAGAGGAUUUUAUUUUUUGAAACAAUUUUAAUUUAAAAAAAAUUUUUUUUUUUUUAAAGUGAGCUCCUACCCAACAUGGGUCUUGAACUCCUGACCCUGAGAGCAAGAGUCGCGUGCUCUACUGAGUCAGGCAGGCACCCCUGAAAAAAUUUCAGAGUUACAUAAGAGUGAAGGGUUAUAUCCGUACACACUUCACCCAGCUUCCCCGAAUGUUAACAUCUUACAUAUAACCUGGUACAUCUAUCAGAACUAAAAAAAUUAACAUUGGUACAAACCUGUUAACUAAUUACCGACUUUAUUUGGAUCUUAAUGGUUUCUCCAAUAAUGUCCUUUUUCUGUUGCAGGAUCCAAUUCUGGAUACCAAGUUGCAUUUAGAGUUACUGCUUUUUUCUAAGACUUUAUUUUGAAACAAUUACAGAUCCAUAGGAAGUUGCAAGCUAGAGGGACCCUUCACCCAGUUUUCCUCGGUGGUUACUCUUACGUAGUUAGAACACAGUAUCAAAACCUCGAAGCUGACACUGGCACGAUGUGGAUGAUCAUUCUCUGUCCUCCCGGGUCGGUCUGUGUAGCUGCCACUGCCCUCUCGGUAAAGAGCCGUCCCACCACGCGGGGCUCUCCCUCCCAUCAGAGCCAUAGCACCCCCUCAGCUUCCGUCCCUAACCCCUGACAACCACUAACCUAAGAUUUUGUCAUUUCAAGAAUGUUGUGCAAGUGGGGUCAUAUAGUACGUGACCAUCUGGGAUUGGCUUUUUUCACUCAGAAUAUUCUGGAGAUGCAUCCAGGUUGUUGUGUGUGUCUAGUUCAUUCCUUUUGAUUGCUGCGUAGUAGUCCUCGAUAUGUUCACUGUCCCGAUGAAGGACAUCUGGGUGGUUUCCAGUUUUUGGCUAUUCCAAAUAAAGCUGCUAUGAACGUU